rnacentral:rRNA from 1 species
CGGUGUUCAACUGGCGUGCCCGCGGGACGUCCUGCCGGUGAGCUCAGCCCGCGAGGGCGGCUCAACUUGAAAUCCCAUCGCGGUGCUCUUCAUUGAGUGUCGAGGUGGGUCGGCACGAUUACUUUUGAACAAAUUAGAGUGCUUAAAGCAGGCUAAAAUUUUGCCUGAAUACUGUGUAUAUGGAAUAAUGGAAUAGGACCUCGGUUCUAUUUUGUUGGUUUUCGGAACCCCGAGGUAAUGAUUAAUAGGAACGGAUGGGGGCAUUCGUAUUGCGACGUUAGAGGUGAAAUUCUUGGAUCGUCGCAAGACGGACUAAAGCGAAAGCAUUUGCCAAAAACGCUUUCAUUGAUCAAGAACGAAAGUUAGAGGUUCGAAGGCGAUCAGAUACCGCCCUAGUUCUAACCAUAAACUAUGCCAGCUAGCGAUCCGCCGACGUCCCUCUGAUGACUCGGCGGGCAGCUUCCGGGAAACCAAAGCUUUUGGGUUCCGGGGGAAGUAUGGUUGCAAAGCUGAAACUUAAAGGAAUUGACGGAAGGGCACCACCAGGAGUGGAGCCUGCGGCUUAAUUUGACUCAACACGGGAAACCUCACCAGGCCCAGACACUGGAAGGAUUGACAGAUUGAGAGCUCUUUCUUGAUUCAGUGGGUGGUGGUGCAUGGCCGUUCUUAGUCGGUGGAGCGAUUUGUCAGGUUAAUUCCGAUAACGGACGAGACUCUGACCUGAUAACUAGACGCACUUGCGGCAUCUCAAAGGUCCGCCGGCGGCUGGCUUUGCGCCCGUCGUCGCGCGCGAUUUUUACUGCCGGCGUACAAUAAAUUCUUCUUAGAGGGACAAGUGG